CCUACGGGGGGCAGCAGUGGGGAAUAUUGCACAAUGGGGGAAACCCUGAUGCAGCGACGCCGCGUGAGUGAAGAAGGAUCUCGGGAUGUAAAGCUCUAUCAGCAGGGAAGAAGAUGACGGUACCUGACUACGCAGCCACGGCUAACGCCGUCCCAGCAGCCGCGGUAAUACGUAGGGGGCGCGCGUUAGCCGGAUUUACUGGGUGUAAAGGGAGCGUAGACGGGGCUGCAAGUCCGGAGUGAAAGCCCAUGGCUCAACCAUGGUACUGCUCUGGAAACUGUGGGGCUUGAGUGCGGUAGGGGUAGGUGGAAUUCCUAGUGUAGCGGUGAAAUGCGUAGAUAUCAGGAGGAACACCGGUGGCGAAGGCGGCCUGCUGGACCGUAACUGACGUUGAGGCUCGAAAGCGUGGGGAGCAAACAGGAUUAGAUACCCUAGUAGUC
rnacentral:rRNA from 1 species